rnacentral:rRNA from 1 species
UACGUAGGGCGCGAGCGUUGUCCGGAAUUAUUGGGCGUAAAGGGCUCGUAGGCGGUCUGUUGCGUCGGGAGUGAAAACUCAGGGCUUAACCCUGAGCCUGCUUCCGAUACGGGCAGACUAGAGGUAUGCAGGGGAGAACGGAAUUCCUGGUGUAGCGGUGAAAUGCGCAGAUAUCAGGAGGAACACCGGUGGCGAAGGCGGGUCUCUGGGCCGAUACUGACGCUGAGGAGCGAAAGCAUGGGUAGCGAACAGG